UACAGAGGUCCCAAGCGUUGUUCGGAUUCACUGGGCGUAAAGGGUGCGUAGGCGGUCGGGUAAGUCUGACGUGAAAUCUCCGGGCCUAACCCGGAAACUGCGUCGGAUACUAUCCGGCUAGAGGAUUGGAUGGGAGACUGGAAUACUUGGUGUAGCAGUGAAAUGCGUAGAUAUCAAGUGGAACACCAGUGGCGAAGGCGAGUCUCUGGACAAUUCCUGACGCUGAGGCACGAAAGCGUGGGGAGCAAACAGG
rnacentral:rRNA from 1 species